UACGUAGGGUGCGAGCGUUAAUCGGAAUUACUGGGCGUAAAGGGUGCGUAGGCGGCUUUUUAAGUUUGGUGUGAAAUCUCCCGGCUCAACUGGGAGGGUGCGCCGAAUACUGAGAGGCUAGAGUGUGGGAGAGGAAAGUGGAAUUCCUGGUGUAGCGGUGAAAUGCGUAGAUAUCAGGAGGAACACCGGUGGUGUAAACGGCUUUCUGGACCAUAACUGACGCUGAUGCACGAAAGCGUGGGUAGCAAACAGG
rnacentral:rRNA from 1 species